AUUGAACGCUGGCGGCAUGCUUUACACAUGCAAGUCGAACGGUAACAGGCCGCAAGGUGCUGACGAGUGGCGAACGAGUGAGUAAUGCAUCGGAACGUGCCCAGUCGUGGGGGAUAACUACUCGAAAGAGUAGCUAAUACCGCAUACGAUCUAUGGAUGAAAGCGGGGGACCGUAAGGCCUCGCGCGAUUGGAGCGGCCGAUGUCAGAUUAGGUAGUUGGUGGGGUAAAGGCUCACCAAGCCAACGAUCUGUAGCUGGUCUGAGAGGACGACCAGCCACACUGGGACUGAGACACGGCCCAGACUCCUACGGGAGGCAGCAGUGGGGAAUUUUGGACAAUGGGCGCAAGCCUGAUCCAGCAAUGCCGCGUGCAGGAAGAAGGCCUUCGGGUUGUAAACUGCUUUUGUACGGAACGAAACGGCUCUGGUUAAUACCCGGGGCUAAUGACGGUACCGUAAGAAUAAGCACCGGCUAACUACGUG
rnacentral:rRNA from 1 species